AGGAACAUGUGACUCCUUUGAAAAAGGAUACAAGUAUGGGAAAAUAUCCUAUGCUCAUUCUCCAUACAAUUUAACAUUUAAAAAGAGACUGGUGACAUGAUAAAACAAGAAGCCCCAGAUCAACCAACACCCUUGUAUCAGAUCUAGUCCUUCCUCAGAAAUGGAUGUUGCUGGAUUCUCCACAUUGGGUUUUCUGCCUUAUAGCAACAGGAAGGUCACGGCUCCCAAGCAUGUGCCUUAUCUUUCCCUGCCUUGCAUCUAUACCAUACAACAUUAAAACAAAAUUAGAAACUCUUCACUUCUUCCUCCAUCCCCUUCAUUUUUAUUUUUCUAUAUUGCUUUACUUUCUUACUUAACCACAUUAUCAACCUCCAGUUUUGCCUAUCUUUCUUUUCCUCUUGUUUCCAGUUUCCUGUACUUCCCCCACUUUCUUCUCUUGCACAAUCCCCUCUUGUUUCCCCUAACAGGAGCCUCAUAUUCUUUAGCCUAGACAGGAUCUCUCUCUACUUACAUCACUACGUAGAGUAUAUAUGCUGCUCACCAUCCAAAUUCAGAGACUAAAGGAGUAAUUGCUGAUGACUGGACACAAGACAUGCAAAAGCUACUUAUCAAAUCUGAACAGCCCAACCUGCAAUCCACUGUUCAAAAUGCUGCCAGCAGAAGUGCCAUGGUCAAAAAGGCUCUGUGCCUACACUUUGAGAACAACAUAUUAUGUUCCGGUAGAAGAUAUACUGAAUUAUCUGUAUAGCAGAAGUGCCUAUGGUCCCAAGUAAACAGUUCAGGUGUCAUUGUUCUAGGCACUAUACAAAUGCAUAACAAAAAGAUGGUGCCUAUCUUGAAAUCCCCAUUUUCUGGUUUAUAUGUAUUUCAAUGCUGUUAAAUAAACCUGAGUACCUGUAUUUUAAAACCAAGAACACCACUACUGCUUUAUUAAAUAGCACAAAUUUUAUUAAACACAAUCAGGACUUCAAGCACACAGUGCAUUCACAUACAUUUAAAGAUAAUUUCUGACAGAUAAGCCACAGAUUAAGUGGUUCUCCUUGUUCUGAGCAUUGAACUGGUGGAAGAACGACUGGGACCUAGUGGGGAAAGUAAAACGGCCCUCACAAUAGCUCCAAUCUCCAUAUUCUAUAGCACAAAAUGAGGUGCAGCUUGCCUGAGUAAUGAUGAUCUCCAGCAACUGUGUGCUUCCUAACUGAGGUAAGCAUUUCUUCUUACAUUCUCUUCUCUCCCCCCUUCCUCACCCCCAGCUUAGAUCAGCUUCAAAGAACUGUCUUUUUCCUGUCCCACACACUCUCAAUUAAUUGCUCAUCUCCACACAGCCAAGUCCUCUGUGUGGUUUGUUGCAACUCCACCAUGAGUUUUUUAAUCUCUCUUUGUUACUUAUGCAGCCCUCAUUACCAUACCAGACACCAUACAAUUGUUAGUGGGCUUUAUCUUCAAAACACUGGUGGGGAAGAUUUAUCCCUAAUUUACAAAUAGGGAACUGAGGCACAGAGUAUAUUUAUCAACUUGCCAAGGAUCACAAAAGAAGUCUGUAGCUGAGCCAGAUAUCCUGAGUCCCAGGCCAGUAUCAUUUCACAUUGGUUCUUUCUCUUGUGCUCCAAUUUGUAAGGCAGCAAGCAUCAGUGGAACUUUCUAGUAAGGUAUGUCUAUUGAAGGUACUGUCCAAAAAAACAGAGAUCAGUCAGUAACCAUUGUGAAUGCAAUAGCUAUGGAAACCCAGCAUUCCUCUUUCCCCCUCCCCCCCCUUUUUUGGGGGGAGGGGGAAAGGCAUUUUCACAUUAGUUUACCAUAAUCCCCAAACAACUUGGCACCCAGAUCAAGGUGGAAAGCAGCCUUUAUAUGCUUCCUGGAAAAAGAAUGUUUAUCCCCAUGUCAAUGCCAAUCUUUACUUUAAAGAGUUGGUCGAGUGCGGGAACAUGAUGCAUUGUAUGUGACUUGCAAUCCUGGCCUUGGAAGACAUUAAUUACCCUGAUGCAAAGUCCCAAAAGGCAAAGAAGAUACUAUUCAAGAUGGGUACGGGCCAGCCAGGGAGAAUGCGAGGUUUUCUGUUGAGGUGGUUUUGCCAGAUUUUUUGCUUGAUAAGUGAGAAAAUCUAUCCUACUACAGAAUGGAAGGGAUGGGGGAAACACGCACUAUCUAGGAUUAUGCAUACCAAAUUAGAACUCCUCUUGUAUUAGAAAUUCUCUGAUAUGCCAAGAGACAUGAGAAAAAUCAGGAUUACAUUAAUCAUCUCUUAACACGUAUGAUGCACUGCACUAACAGGUUUAUUAAGUGACUUCCUCUAAUACAAUAACCAAUAAUGCCCAUUGAACCCUUAUUUUUUUGCACAGAAGUACUGUCAUUUCAUGGAUUUUCUCUAUUAAAUUUUUAUGCAUACAGUUAAACCACAGGCUUGAGACCACAAAUGAUAUUGCUUAUGAUGCUGUAUUAACAUGAUGUUUUAAUAUAACUCAAAAGAUGCAAUUAUA